CCUACGGGAGGCUGCAGUGGGGAAUAUUGCACAAUGGGGGAAACCCUGAUGCAGCGACGCCGCGUGAGUGUAGAUGCAAUUUGGUAUGUAAAGCUCUAUCAGCAGGGAAGAAAAUUACGGUACCUGAGUAAGACGCGCCUGCCAACUACGUGCCGGUAGCCGCGGUAAUACGUAGGGGGCAAGCGUUAUCCGGAUUUACUGGGUGCAAGGGGAGCGUAGACGGCAGUGCAAGUCUGGAGUGAAAGGCUGGGGCUCAACCCCCGGAGUGCUCUGGAAACUGUACGGCUGGAGUGCAGGUGAGGUAAGUGGAAUUCCUGGUGUAGCGGUGAAAUGCGUAGAUAUUAGAAGGAACACCAGUGGCGAAGGCAGCUUACGAAACUGUAACUGACGUUGAGGCUCGAAAGCGUGGGGAGCAAACAGGAUUAGAUACCCCGGUAGUC
rnacentral:rRNA from 1 species